AACGAACGCUGGCGGCAGGCCUAACACAUGCAAGUCGAGCGAUCCCUUCGGGGAUAGCGGCGGACGGGUGAGUAACGCGUGGGAACGUACCCUUUGCUACGGAAUAGCCUCGGGAAACUGGGAGUAAUACCGUAUGUGCCCUUCGGGGAAAGAUUUAUCGGCAAAGGAUCGGCCCGCGUUGGAUUAGGUAGUUGGUGGGGUAAUGGCCUACCAAGCCUACGAUCCAUAGCUGGUUUGAGAGGAUGAUCAGCCACACUGGGACUGAGACACGGCCCAGACUCCUACGGGAGGCAGCAGUGGGGAAUCUUAGACAAUGGGGGCAACCCUGAUCUAGCCAUGCCGCGUGAGUGAUGAAGGCCUUAGGGUUGUAAAGCUCUUUCAGCUGGGAAGAUAAUGACGGUACCAGCAGAAGAAGCCCCGGCUAACUCCGUGCCAGCAGCCGCGGU
rnacentral:rRNA from 1 species